rnacentral:lncRNA from 1 species
ACAGGGUUGUGUGGGUGACUAACUUCACACGGCAGAAGAGAUGUUGCUCUAAUGCUCACAAACAGGGCUUGCUCUUUUUUUUAUUUUUAGAGGAAAUACAUUUUCUUUUUAAUUUUUUUUUUUUUGCAUUCAUUUCUAUACAUCACACAUCUCCAGGAGAAUGCACAUUAUAGGUAUGUAAUGUGGAACCGACACUGGGGAGAUCUGAAGGAAGAAGGCAUGAGGCACUCUCUGAUGGCUUGCUAGUCAAAACUGGAAGGAUUUUCCUUAGGACAGGUGUGACCUUCUGGUCCCUCUGUCCCAUUGCCCUCUCGUAUUCCAUUUAAAAAAGUCAUUCAUGAUCCUUUCCACCCGCUCUCUGUAUUUUCAAUGUUUUUCUCUCAGCGCCUUGCCUUAACAAUCCCCAGACAGUGUUCUCUCAAGCAGUGUUCCAGACUUGUUGGGUGUGAAGAUAAAUGCAUGUAAGAGCAGCCCUUUGGAGGCUGAGGCAGGAGAAUCUCAAGUUCAGGGCCAGCCUGGGCCACAUACUGAUACCCUGUCUCUC